rnacentral:tRNA from 1 species
CGAGGUGUGGCUCAGUUUGGUAGAGCGCUACGUUCGGGACGUAGAAGUCGUGGGUUCGAAUCCCGUCACCUCGACCA